rnacentral:rRNA from 1 species
UACAGAGGGUGCAAGCGUUGUUCGGAAUUAUUGGGCGUAAAGGGAGUGUAGGCGGCUUGUUAAGUCUUCUGUGAAAUCUACGGGCUCAGCCUGUAAAGUGCAGAGGAAACUGGCGAGCUUGAGUGUCGGAGAGGAUAGGGGAAUACCCGGUGUAGAGGUGAAAUUCGUAGAGAUCGGGUGGAACACCAGUGGCGAAGGCGCCUAUCUGGCUGACAACUGACGCUGAGACUCGAGAGCAUGGGGAGCAAACAGG